rnacentral:rRNA from 1 species
GAUGAACGCUGGCGGCGUGCCUAAUACAUGCAAGUCGAGCGAACAGACGAGGAGCUUGCUCCUCUGACGUUAGCGGCGGACGGGUGAGUAACACGUGGAUAACCUACCUAUAAGACUGGGAUAACUUCGGGAAACCGGAGCUAAUACUGGAUAAUAUAUUGAACCGCAUGGUUCAAUAGUGGAAGACGGUUUUGCUGUCACUUAUAGAUGGAUCCGCGCCGCAUUAGCUAGUUGGUAAGGUAACGGCUUACCAAGGCAACGAUGCGUAGCCGACCUGAGAGGGUGAUCGGCCACACUGGAACUGAGACACGGUCCAGACUCCUACGGGAGGCAGCAGUAGGGAAUCUUCCGCAAUGGGCGAAAGCCUGACGGAGCAAUGCCGCGUGAGUGAUGAAGGUCUUCGGAUCGUAAAACUCUGUUAUUAGGGAAGAACAAAUGUGUAAGUAACUAUGCACGUCUUGACGGUACCUAAUCAGAAAGCCACGGCUAACUACGUG